AAGCGUAAUAGCUCACUGGUCGAGUCGGCCUGCGCGGAAGAUGUAACGGGGCUAAACCAUGCACCGAAGCUGCGGCAGCGAACGUAUCACUUAAAGCGAUUCAGCGGGUUACGAUUGACGGAGCGAAGCGACGUCAAAGCGUAUACAAAGUCGAGUCGGUUUAAGGAUACGUUCGUUGGGUAGGGGAGCGUUCUGUAAGCCUGUGAAGGUGGCCUGUGAGGGUUGCUGGAGGUAUCAGAAGUGCGAAUGCUGACAUAAGUAACGA
rnacentral:rRNA from 1 species